rnacentral:rRNA from 1 species
UGGGGAAUAUUGCACAAUGGGCGCAAGCCUGAUGCAGCGACGCCGCGUGCGGGAUGGAGGCCUUCGGGUUGUAACCGCUUUUGUUCAAGGGCAAGGCAGGCUUUCGGGCCUGUUGAGUGGAUUGUUCGAAUAAGCACCGGCUAACUACGUGCC